GUUUCUGUAGUGUAGUGGUCAUCAUGUUUGCCUAAAACGCAAUAGGUCCCCAGUUCGAAACUGGGUGGAAACA
rnacentral:tRNA from 1 species